GGUGUCUGGGGAGGCGGUGUUGCCAUGGUUUGCCUUGACCUUGGCAAAGGAGGGGAGGGAUAUUGCCCUGGCUUAAGCUACGUUUGAGCUUCCUCGGGUUUCCUUGGCUCCCUGGACCCAGCCCUCGGUGAUAUCAUUUGCCACAUUUUCCUUGGGUGAGCCUGGCUUUCCCGCCUGAAUGUAAGUUACCCAGGGGCUGACACCUGGCCUCAUUCAUACGUGUACCCCCAAAGCCUAGCCCACAGCAGGUGCAUGAUAAAUUCUUAGUGCCAGGCGUGGCUCUAAACCCCAAGCACGGAUUGCCUCGCUUCGACUCCCCUGUUCCUCAUGAGGAACACGAGCUUUUAGUCAUUUUGGUUUGGUGAGUGUCAGGUAAAGAAGAGAAUCACCCAAGAAUGUGUCAUAGGAGGACUGAGACCGAGUUGGGACAGGCGAAAAGAAUGAACCCAGAAUACAGUUUUAUUCAUUUGGUUUUGGUUAAGUCAAACUGUGAAACAUGGAAAAUACACAGACUGUACUAUUCACAGGAUGAACAGCCACUUGCAUUUGUCCAAAAUGUGUAAUACACAACCACGGCAGAAGAGGAAAGGAGGCAUUCAGAGAUACGCAAUGUCAAUGCAGAGCCAACCCAGGAAGAUCUAGGCCAACACAUGAGAAAAAGACCAAGAGAAGUUAAGUACAUGAUGAAGGCCCUUGGCAUUUCUAGAACUCCUUUUCAAAAUGUAGCAUGUAUCAUGCAGUGGUUUGUACAAGAAGAUUAGAAGGUCAAUAUUCCAGAGGUCUCUUCAGGGCUGUUCCCCUAGUUCACUGAGUGACUUUGGGUAAGCCAUUAAUUUCUCCGGCCUCAUAACCUGAUCUGGAAAACAGAGAUAAACGGCACCAGCCUCACCGCCACCGUC